UUAGCCUUUUUUUUUUUUUUUUUUUAAACAGAUUGUACUCCAGGAUUUAGAUAAAAAGGAAGGUGGUCUUCAUGACAUAUUAACUGUUCUCACUAUGAAAAGGGAUGGAUCCUUACAUGUUACCUGCACAGAUCAAGAUACAGGAAAAUGUGAAGUCAUCACUGUUGAAGUGGCAUCAUAAUUUCAUUUGAAAGGAGACUUUUUUUUGUUGGCUUGUUUCCCUAAUGGAUGGGUGUGUGUUUGUUUUAAAUACUUUUAAUGAGCCAUUGCAGACUGGAAUAAAUUAGGUAAAAGAUUUGGUGCUGAAAUGCUGUUGUUUAUUUUGAGAUAUAGACCCUUUUGGAACUGCUGAUACAUCAAUCAAAAACCGCCAACCAGUGAACAAGCAAAAAUCAGUCGCCUGUUUGUAGAUGGGUCUGUAAAGUUUGUACCAACUUGUACCAAAACUUCAGUAAUGAAACUGCUUCUAAAGACUGGCAAGGUGUGAUCCCUUUUGGAGUUGAAAGUACUGAGUGCAAGUUUCACUGUUCAAGCUAAUGUCAAAUGGCGUUGUGAUCACUCUGUGGAAAACCUGUAUGAGGGAAGACAUUUGUGUAUAUUUAUUUACUUAUGGAAUAGCAAUAAAAUAUGGUUUUAUAUA